UCCUACGGGAGGCAGCAGUGGGGAAUAUUGCACAAUGGGCGCAAGCCUGAUGCAGCAACGCCGCGUGAGGGACGAAGGCCUUCGGGUUGUAAACCUCUUUUAGUAGGGAAGAAGCGACUGGGUUUUCCUGGGAGUGACGGUACCUGCAGAAAAAGCACCGGCUAACUACGUGCCAGCAGCCGCGGUAAUACGUAGGGUGCAGGCGUUGUCCGGAAUUAUUGGGCGUAAAGAGCUCGUAGGCGGUUUGUCGCGUCUGCUGUGAAAACCCGAGGCUCAACCUCGGGCCUGCAGUGGGUACGGGCAGACUAGAGUGCGGUAGGGGAGAUUGGAAUUCCUGGUGUAGCGGUGGAAUGCGCAGAUAUCAGGAGGAACACCAAUGGCGAAGGCAGAUCUCUGGGCCGUAACUGACGCUGAGGAGCGAAAGCAUGGGGAGCGAACAGGAUUAGAUACCCUGGUAGUCCAUGCCGUAAACGUUGGGAACUAGAUGUGGGGACCAUUCCACGGUCUCCGUGUCGCAGCUAACGCAUUAAGUUCCCCGCCUGGGGAGUACGGCCGCAAGGCUAAAACUCAAAGGAAUUGACGGGGGCCCGCACAAGCGGCGGAGCAUGCAGAUUAAUUCGAUGCAACGCGAAGAACCUUACCAAGGCUUGACAUAUACCGGAAACGGCUGGAAACAGUCGCCCCGCAAGGUCGGUAUACAGGUGGUGCAUGGUUGUCGUCAGCUCGUGUCGUGAGAUGUUGGGUUAAGUCCCGCAACGAGCGCAACCCUCGUCCUAUGUUGCCAGCACGUAAUGGUGGGAACUCAUGGGAUACUGCCGGGGUCAACUCGGAGGAAGGUGGGGAUGACGUCAAAUCAUCAUGCCCCUUAUGUCUUGGGCUUCACGCAUGCUACAAUGGCCGGUACAAAGGGCUGCGAUACCGCAAGGUGGAGCGAAUCCCAAAAAGCCGGUCUCAGUUCGGAUUGAGGUCUGCAACUCGACCUCAUGAAGUCGGAGUCGCUAGUAAUCGCAGAUCAGCAACGCUGCGGUGAAUACGUUCCCGGGCCUUGUACACACCGCC
rnacentral:rRNA from 1 species